CGGAAAACCACAAUAAAUAUAUUUUUAGCAGUAAAAAUACCAAUUUGAUUAAAGAGCUUACCCUUAAAACCUUAAAAAAAAUCCCUUCUCUUCCGCUUACGAUUUUAAUUAUUAAAAGUACUUUUCAUUUAGGGCAGAUGUGGCAAAUUUGUUACCCAAUGUGUAUCUGGCAGUACUGAAAGACAGAGUAUAAGAACUUAAUAAAACAAAGAAUAAAACUAAGUAUGUAAGUAAAAUUUAAAAUAGUUCAAACAAAGUACAACAAAGUAACACAAUAGAAGCAGUUGUGUCUCCUCAUCAGGCUUGACGCACGUUAGGAUGAAACUGUUACACUGACACUACGUAGCCUGUGGGGGCAGCAGCACCGCCUGUGCCGCAGUUUCCAUCGGAGUCGGAAGACGAAGAAGAAACAGAGGUAGAGGAUUGGUCCCGUGUGGUGUGAAGGUGAAUCAAAUGGAAGAACUGAAGUUGUUUGUCUUCAGACGGCUCCAGGCUGCUGCUUCUGAAGUACUUGGUGCUAUAGAAAAAAUAUAACAAGUUACACGGAGCAGGCGACCCGUCUGAAGGAAGAAAACCAGCGUAACCGCUGGACAUUAUCAUCAAAUCCAACUUUGGACUUCAGAGAGCCUUACGGAGACGCAGCGCUCACAACAACUGCAGAGCAAAGACGAGCUGGUGGAAAAGGGUAGCAAUCAAAUGAGAGAACAAAGCCUAGAGCCAAGCCGGCCCCAGGACUACGACUAUGUCGUCAUUGACUAUGUGAACAGUUUUAUGGAGAUAUGAGUGAAAGCAGCAAGGGAUGGUCUCUUUUUGCACCUUCAGCUCAGGCAAUGGAAUCUCUGCCCAAAUGCACGGUGUGUGAUGUAUCAGCACUGACUUGGGAAGCUCUGCACUCUACUGGAAUCAGUGCAGUUUCCAGAGAUGGAAAACGCAGCAAGACUGAGUCAAAGGACACAAAAACACUUUGCUCAAGUUCACAUGCGCUCAGAUCAAAGACAAAACUGUGUGUGAAAAGAUUGUUACUUCCUGUGACUUUAACAAAAAGAAGUCAGAUAUCAACCAAUCAAAGCUCCAGUUUCAUAUUCCUAUGUGGGAAGAUUUUCCAUUACAUGUACAGACUGAAAGCCCAUGUGCAAACACAUACUGUAUAAGGGAUAAAAACCAUGUUUGUGGAAUCUGUGGGAGACAUUUACUGUCUGCAGAGAGUUUAGUUCAACACCUGCAAAGCCACACCAAGAAAAACAAGUGUGGUACUUGUGGCAAACAGUUUUCCAGUAAUUCCAGUCUAGAGCGGCGCAGGAGGUUUUACAGACCAAAGGGCCUGAAUCCCAUGUGAUCAGCGUGAAUGUUAUAGCUGGAUGAAAUUCUGUUAAUGCACGAAAACCUGCUGCGUCUUGGUAUAUGGAUCACUAUAGGGACAUUUACUGACUGGAAAACAUCCAUUUUGAUAGAAACAAUAUGUGCGUAUUUAUUGGUUUGUUUGUUUUAUGUGUUCAAAAUAAAAGCUGUCAUCAACA